rnacentral:rRNA from 1 species
GAGUUUGAUCCUGGCUCAGAACGUACGCUGGCGGCACGCCUAACACAUGCAAGUCGAACGAAGUAGCAAUACUUAGUGGCAGACGGGUGAGUAACAUGUAGGUAUCUGCCCUUUGGCCUGGAAUAACACGAGGAAACUUGUGCUAAUACCGGAUAAGUCUUUACGGAGAAAGCUUUAUGCACCAUUGGAUGAGCCUGCACUUGAUUAGUUUGUUGGUGGGGUAAUGGCCUACCAAGACUGUGAUCAAUAGCUGAUUUGAGAGGAUGAUCAGCCACAUUGGGACUGAGACACGGCCCAAACUCCUACGGGAGGCAGCAGUGGGGAAUCUUGCACAAUGGAGGAAACUCUGAUGCAGCGAUGCCGCGUGAGUGAAGAAGGCC